GGAGGGGUGGCUGAGCGGUUGAAAGCACUGGUCUUGAAAACCAGCAUACCGAGAGGUAUCCAGGGUUCGAAUCCCUGCCCCUCCGCCA
rnacentral:tRNA from 1 species